rnacentral:rRNA from 1 species
AGCAUUCCGCCUGGGGAGUUACGGUCGCCAAGCCUGAAACNUUCAAAAGGAAUUUGAACGGGGGGCCCCGGAAACAACNGUUGGAAANAUGGGGAUUNAAAUUCGAAGCAAACGCGAGAGACACCUUACCAGGUCUUGACAUCCCGUUGACCACUGUAGAGAUAUGGUUUUCCCUUCGGGGACAACGGUGACAGGUGGUGCAUGGUUGUCGUCAGCUCGUGUCGUGAGAUGUUGGGUUAAGUCCCGCAACGAGCGCAACCCUUGAUCUUAGUUGCCAUCAUUUAGUUGGGCACUCUAAGGUGACUGCCGGUGACAAACCGGAGGAAGGUGGGGAUGACGUCAAAUCAUCAUGCCCCUUAUGACCUGGGCUACACACGUGCUACAAUGGACGAUACAAACGGUUGCCAACUCGCGAGAGGGAGCUAAUCCGAUAAAGUCGUUCUCAGUUCGGAUUGUAGGCUGCAACUCGCCUACAUGAAGCCGGAAUCGCUAGUAAUCGCGGAUCAGCAUGCCGCGGUGAAUACGUUCCCGGGCCUUGUACACACCGCCCGUCUACACCACGAGAGUUUGUAACACCCGAAGUCGGUGGGGUAACCUUUUGGAGCCAGCCGCCGAAGGUGGGAUAGAUGAUUGGGGUGAAGUCGUAACAAUGGUAGCCGUAAC